rnacentral:lncRNA from 1 species
AGAAUCUCCCCUUCCCUGCCACAGGUAGUGGGGGUUCCUCCCUCCCCACCCCCUUAAAAUCCUUCUUUACCAGGAACUGCCUGAUCCAGAUGAAUCUCUUCUCCGGGGCCCACUAGUCUCUAAGAAAGGGACCAUGGAAUUCCUUUCUUCCCCGAAGAGCUCCCCACUCUCCCUGACCAGAGUCUCCUUGAUCUGGAGGCUGGGCAGCCCCCGGGGACCCGGUGGCCGCCGCUGACCCCGUGGCAUGCGGCUCUCAAAGGCCCCAUUCAUCUCUGGGGGCUGAAGGCGCCAUUGUCCCCAGCGGGGGGUGGUGUGGGGAGUGAAGGGGUCUGGACUCAGAAGGAAGGAAUGCGUCUGGAGAAGUUGCCCCCGGGGCUCCAGUCUCAAGGUCCCCACCAGAUCUCCAUCGGGACCCUUUCACGACCCCGAGCCCUUUCCCCAGGAGCUCCCAGCAACCUUCGCGCUUCUCCGGAGGGUGGGGUCUGCCGCGGCGCGGGGGCAGCCUCACCCCACCUCACUGCUGGACUCCGGAGAACCAUUUCUGGGACCGGGAGCUGUCCAGCGCCUCGGGUCCUGACGGACCGCUGAUUCGCCUAGGUGCCAUCGGACAAGCGGGUGCUCAGAGCCAGCUCUGGUGGCUCGGGAGCUUUCCCCCAACCAGGCUAAGACCACUAAACCACGCCUGGCCCGGAUGAGCUUGGAUGCAGCUCCGAACGUGGGGAUCCAUCGGUGCUGAGAACUGACCUAGGGAGCACCUUGACCCCUGCCCUAUCUGGGCACAAUUGAAGGGCCAAGUGCCACCAGCCCACUUUCCUGGAACCCUGUCUCAGACUUGGGCAGGAAGAAGAGCCAUGAGAGGAAUAAUCAAAUUUCUUCAUCAGGCCAGGCGUGAGCUACCUCACCCGGCCCUGAGGUUUUGUUAUCUACCUAUAAUCUGGACUGGAUCUUAAAUUCUUCUAGUUUCCUCCAAUAUCUGGUUAUCACUCUCCAAACAAUUUCCAAUUUUUCUCCCACCUUAUGACUGAGAAUCACUAAAAAUUAAAACUGCCCUUUUUCCAAAGCCCUGCAAGCUAAAGCUGGACAACUUCAUAUAGACUUUAGAGAAAUCACAACAGCCAUAUAUGAACAAUUUUUGUACGUGUUGCUCUAUGUGCUACUCAGAAAGUUCCCCAGAACACCUCAUGCAAACUGCAAACCAGGAAAAUCUAUCAGCUUGUCACUACUUGUCCUCAUUCUACCAUCUCAAGAUGCUUUGAGCUCGAAUCUAGAAAUUUUUUUGACUGGCUGUCUUCCGGACUCAAAAACUGAGUUUAUGGAUUGCUCUAAUUGUUAAUGUUUGUUUUUCUAUUGUUUGUCUGGAAAUGCCUCUUAUUAAAUGCCUGAUUGAUUACACUACAUAGAGGCCUAACUUUGGUAGAAGCCUGACUGCAAUACCCCCUAACAACUGGAAUAAGAUACAACUGUUAACUAUUUAACUGGACUGAGUUAUUCCUGGAACUGAGAGAUGGUUCAAUGGGUUAUGCAAUAAUCUUCCAACUCAGUUUUUGGGCUGUGAGGCCUCUUGGGAAAGUUUCAGACAGGAGAAUGAUGGGGUUCAGGAUACCGUACUCCAAAAUAUGGCAACUUGGCAUUUGAAAAAACAGCAGAGGAGAACCACUCUCACCUUUCCCUCUCCCUUCUUCCCGGAAGCAGGCCAUAAAACCUGGGAAGGUUGGCCGGGCGCAGUGGCUCAUGCCUGUAAUCCCAGCGCUUUGGGAGGCUGAAGCUGGUGGAUCACCUGAGGUCGGGAGUUCAAGACCAGCUUGGCCAACAUG